rnacentral:rRNA from 1 species
AUGGACUGCUCGCUGGCGGCGCUGAAGCUGUUGGCCUCGCAGCUCGCGAGCUCCACCUCCUCCGAGGGCUCCUCCCCGGCGCAGAUGCUCUUGGGCAUCCGCUUCCAGCGCGCCUGGAUCCAGGGCGUGGUGGUGGGCGCGGACUACAGCAUCGGCGACGGGAGGUUGUUCGUGGAUGACGGCUCCUGCGGCGUCACUGAGCUCAUGCUCCGACCCGAGGAUGCCAAGGGCCAGCCCUGGCGCCCAGGAUCUCCCAAACCUCCCUCGAAAUGCAGGUGA